rnacentral:misc_RNA from 1 species
AACACUGUUAACCUGCGGUACCUGCGGAAGGAUCAUUAACAAGCUGUGGGAGAUCGAUCAAUUUGAUCUCACACCUGGCCAACCUUGUUAACCUUAAAUAUAUUGCUUUGGUGAGCCCUGCUCACCAAAGUCAAACCCUAAACUCUUGAUUGUUUCUGCUGUCUGAGCAUGCAAGUGCAAAAUUUAGUUAAAAACUUUUAACAAUGGAUCU